GACGAACGCUGGCGGCGUGCUUAACACAUGCAAGUCGAACGGAAAGGCCCCCAUCUUGGUGGGGGUGCUCGAGUGGCGAACGGGUGAGUAACACGUGGGUGAUCUGCCCUGUACUUCGGGAUAAGCUUGGGAAACUGGGUCUAAUACCGGAUAGGACCAUGGUUUAGUGUCUCAUGGUGGAAAGAUUAUUGUUUUGGUGCAGGAUGAGCUCGCGGCCUAUCAGCUUGUUGGUGGGGUAAUGGCCUACCAAGGCGUCGACGGGUAGCCGGCCUGAGAGGGUGGACGGCCACAUUGGGACUGAGGUACGGCCCAGACUCCUACGGGAGGCAGCAGUGGGGAAUAGUGCACAAUGGGCGCAAGCCUGAUGCAGCGACGCCGCGUGGGGGAUGACGGCCUUCGGGUUGUAAACUCCUUUCGUUAGGGACGAAGCCGCACUUUUUUUGGGUGUGGUGACGGUACCUUUGUUAAGAAGCACCGGCUAACUACGUG
rnacentral:rRNA from 1 species